CACGUAGGGGCCAAGCGUUGUCCGGAUUUAUUGGGCGUAAAGAGCUCGUAGGCUGUUCGGUAAGUCGGGUGUGAAAACUCUGGGCUCAACCCAGAGACGCCAUCCGAUACUGCUGUGACUAGAGUCCGGUAGGGGAGUGUGGAAUUUCCGGUGUAGCGGUGAAAUGCGCAGAUAUCAGGAGGAACACCGGUGGCGAAGGCGGGUCUCUGGGCCGAUACUGACGCUGAGGAGCGAAAGCGUGGGGAGCGAACAGG
rnacentral:rRNA from 1 species